rnacentral:misc_RNA from 1 species
AUAGCAGCACCCAUUCCUAACAGAUUCACUACUAUGCCAUUUUUCAAGCUUUUCACAACAUCAACUCUAGGAGGCGCCUUGGAAGGGUCAUUAGCAGUCUUCCGGAGCUUAUCAGAAAGCCUAAUAUACCCAAAUGACCAAAACACGGAAAUGAAUGCAGCUGCGAUCCCCCCAGCAGUAGCAUAAAAAGUAGCAGGGGACGAGAUCUUCCCAGUGAUUACAACAGAAAACGAAAGAAUCACUGCUGCUACCACUGUGCAUAUUAGUUGCCCCCAAAACCCUAAACUACCCAGCCGCUUGAAAUACUUCGAGGCACUCUCCAAUCUCUUCGCAACCUGAGCGAGCUUCGCCCUCUCAGCCUCGUCGUUUGACGGAUUAAAAGGGGGAGAAACCGGAGAAGAAGCGUUCGUUUUGGUGAAGGAGAGGUUCGAGUCUGGGCUUUUAAGAGGAUCAUAAGACAAUGAAGCGCAAGGGAAUGAGACUAAUUGCGUGAAUGUGCGCGGAUAAUUUGAGAGAUAGAGUGGUCGGUAAUCCGUUGGGCGGUAGCGUUGGAGGAGAGGAAGCGCUGGACCUACUGUC